GCUUCGCUGCUCAGCCAGCGGGUCGUGGCGUCACGCGACAUCGACGACAUCACCAACACCGAGGACGGCAGCGAGGACUUCAGCCAGAUCGCUUCGCUGCUGCAGACGUUCUCGUCCCAAAGCAACCAAGGAAAGAAGCUGCAAACUACCGGUCAGCGCAAGGCCCAGGGCUCGAUGGUGCUACCCGACAUUCCCGAGAAGAUCUCCCUCGAGGACUGGUCCGUCAAGGCGUGCUGCAUCGAGGACAUCGUCUACCCGAGCUCCCACAACAGGUCCUACAUAACCAACUCGGUCAUCACGACCUUCACGGAUCAGGCCUCGAGGGCGGAUGUCAGCGGGAGCAGCUUGCUCGAUUCGUCGUUCACCGAUUCCAGCUCCACACUGUCUGU